UUUAAUUUAUUUGAACUAAAUAGAGAUAUUAUAAUACUAGGUAUUAUUAGGCCUAAUAAUUAAAUUAGAGGUAUCAUUCUUUAAGCCCAAAUAUAAUACUAGAAUAUAAGAGGUAGGAGAGUGAGAAGUAGGAUUCAUUUGAUCAUUUGACGGCAACAGAGAAAGAAAAGAGGAAAAGUAAGGAGAAGAUGGGAAGAACAAGAGAGAAG
rnacentral:lncRNA from 1 species